AGGAAUUUGUGGAGACUGGAAAACGUGUUUAAGUACAACCCAACAAGAAUACAUGGAUAGAAUUUACCAGGAGAAAAUGAAAGAACUAGAUAUGAAAUUCAUCUGGGAUGAAUGUUGAUUGUUGUUGAUAGCUUUAAUCUUGAUUGUUAUUAAUGAUGAUUACAUAAUUUUCUCUACACAAUGUCUAAUUUUGUUGUACGUAUAACAAAGAAAAGAAAGCUCAUUCACUAAAUACCAUAUUUUUCCUAAUCUAAGAUAUAGUUAAGUAUUCCAAACCUGGUAGCAAGAGACAAGAAAAAAGGGGGGCGGGAUGCACAAGAGACCCGUUAUGGGGGUUAGACCUCUAGAUGGUUGUUUUAUUUAUUUUUUCUUCAUAAUGUAUUGUUAAACUAAAGGAGUGUGUCAUAUUCAAGUGCAUCUUUUAUUCCCCAAAAAUAUGGUAGCAAAUUUUGGUGAUCUGUAAACUAAAUCUUAAAAUCAUGGCUAAAUAGUCAAACUAUGGCUUCAGCUGAGUUGAAAAGUUUUUUUUGACACAGAUUUUGUAGAUUUUUUGGUUGCACUGUUUCAUAACUAAACCUUUUAGUGUUUUUUGAAAGCUUUGUUGAUGCUUAGUUUGCAUGCUACAGAGUUAAAUGUGUUCCUGGGUUGAAGUUAUGUCUACGAUUAGGUCCAGCGAUGGAUGUUUAAUGGUGAUGUGAACUCCGAUUUUGAACUGAUUUUUUAGGAAUAAAUAAA